rnacentral:rRNA from 1 species
AUGUACAUUCCUACAAUAUACAAUUAAUGUACAAUAUCCCAUUAGAAAUUCAUAGUUAAGUGCGCUUGGGCUAGAGUAGUACUGGGAUGGGUGACCACCCAGGAAGUCCUGGUGUUUUACAUG